rnacentral:rRNA from 1 species
UACGGAGGAUGCAAGUGUUAUCCGGAAUCACUGGGCGUAAAGCGUCUGUAGGUGGUCAAAUAAGUCAACUGUUAAAUCUUGAGGCUCAACCUCAAAAUCGCAGUCGAAACUAUUAGACUAGAGUAUAGUAGGGGUAAAGGGAAUUUCCAGUGGAGCGGUGAAAUGCGUAGAGAUUGGAAAGAACACCGAUGGCGAAGGCACUUUACUGGGCUAUUACUAACACUCAGAGACGAAAGCUAGGGUAGCAAAUGGG